UAAAAAUUUGAAUAACUGUGGUGGCAGCAAUAACAGUAACAGUAUGUUACAUGAUGGAGAGAGUGAGACAUCAGGUGGAAUGCACAUUGGAUAUAUUAUAUUUAUCGUGGCGGCGUCAGUUGGAACUUUGGUAUUUACAGUACUUUCUAUAUAUGGUAAAAUACUGAAGAUAAUAGUACGACGCCUUAGGAAUAAUGACUCGUCUAGGAAGAAGCCAACUAUAUGACACACAUUCACAGGAUACAUUACGUCAUAAAAUACUUCUUUCUGUAUAAAUUUAAUGACUUGAAAUGUGUCUGGUUUUUUUUCAACUCUAACUUGCAAUAAUGAAUAUUUCAACAGGAAUACUCCCAUCUGAAAUUAUAGAGAGUGUGACAAGUUAUGGAGCAAACUGUAAAGGAAACUUGAUUUAGCCAGCUAAUCUACAAGUAACAAACACAUAAAGAGAACAUUAUUUUUUUUAAGUAUUCAUUGUUCACAAACUAUUUAACAUUUCAUGUUGUUUCUAAUCAAUUUAGUGUGAACACAUAAGGUCUUGGCGGAUGAUAUACUAAUGAAGUAACAACAUGUCAUUGUAUGAUAUCACGUGUGUCUUGAUCUGAAAGAAUCACUUUGUAGUAUAAAUUAUAUACACAUCGUAGAACCUA